rnacentral:rRNA from 1 species
UACGAAGGGGGCUAGCGUUGCUCGGAAUUACUGGGCGUAAAGCGUGCGUAGGCGGUUGGCUAAGUCAGAUGUGAAAGCCCUGGGCUCAACCUGGGAAUGGCAUUUGAAACUGGCCGGCUAGAGUGUGAUAGAGGAUGGCGGAAUUCCCGGUGUAGCGGUGAAAUGCGUAGAGAUCGGGAGGAACAUCCGUGGCGAAGGCGGCCAUCUGGAUCAACACUGACGCUGAGGCACGAAAGCGUGGGGAGCAAACAGG